UCAAAUUAAGAGUUUGAUCCAUUAGUGGAUCAUUAAAUACAUUUAAUAGGUGGUGAAAAUAUUAUUUAAUUCAAUAAAUAAAAUUCAGUGGAAGAGAAGGGAAGGGAAGACAGCAGAGAAAAGAGGAGAGGGGAGGAAAAAGAAAACAAUAAAAAUCAGAUUGCAUUGCACAAAGUAAGCAAAAUUAAUGUUUUGUGAAACUUUUAUAUAACUGUGUUUUGUCUUAUGAUAUUAAAUGUUUUCUGUUUUUUAUCAUUAAAAAAAGGUUGAAAGCUGUGAGUUGAAUUUAUAUACUUUGGAGUGGGAUUUCUAGCUUUCAGUAAUGCCAAUUUAGUUAAAUAAACUAAUUUGGUUAGAUAAUGCAAGUGACUUUGCUAUGUAAUGGUAUCAAUUUACACCCAUAAGAGGUGUGUCUCAGAGCUUGCUUUGUCUAGGUUCUCAACAACUAUCUUGUAGUUACAAUAAUAAAGCACUCUAAUAAUAACAAUAACUAUUUUUUACUAACUUCCAGAAAUUUUCAUGAGUGAGUUCACCUCUUUGGGUCUGUUUCUUCAUCUGCAAUAAGUAAAGUCUGCAAUAUGAGAAUUUCUAAAGUCCCCGUGUAAAGUGUUUUGAUUACAGAACACUUGUAAAAGAAUCAUAUUGUCAUUCUCAGGAAACAGCAGAUGUGACUACUGGAGAGAAGGGCUAUUGUGGUUUCAUUGUUGUAACCAUCACAUAGUAGUCAUUCAAUUUGCCUGGAUUAAAUGAAUGAUUAUGUGCUUUCCACUUGGUAAAUAUUUAACAUAUAAACAUAGUCCUUUCCCUGGCAGUGGGAAAGGUGCCAGCUGAGCUUAUCAUUAUCCUUGAUCUGAUUCAGUAACAAAGGUUUGUAAAACUUGCCAGUUAUACAUAUGUUGGGUACUUACUGAAUGCAGCAUAAUUCACUAAAAUAAGCAACUAGUAGUUUCUUGUGACCAUUGAACAAUUCAAGUGACUUGAAAAAUACCGAUUUUCCACCAACUGCCAGAUUGCUUAGGAUUUCACCAUGAAGAUUUGGCUUGAAUACAGAUGAGUGGAUAAAUCUAGAAACACAUUUAUGAAUGGAAAACAGAAGGAUUAUGAUUGUGAAGCGAGGAGAAGGCUCAUCACCUUGCUCCAGUGCCUGGCUAGGCUGUGUUACGCGUGCUGUCCACGAUGCAACUGGAGCGGGCAGUGCCUCUCUCCCAAGCAUCCUCACCCCCAGAGCUCUGUGUUCCGCAAUGAUGGGCCCUCUCUUUGUUCUCCACCUUCAAAGUGAUUCACUCAGCUAUAUCCUAAAAGUACAAAGUCACCCAGCUCUGUCUAAAAAUGCUUGAGGCUUGAACCGCCUGUUGGAAUGCUCACUUUAUUUGUGAGAGAUCACGUUUAUUGAGCAUUCUCCUGUGCCAUUAUAAACCAACCAAGGAAUCAAGAAACCAUCCGUGAGUGAGGGUCAGAGCCUUGUCAGGAGCCGUUUCUGGAAGAUGUGAGGGUGGCAACGUUGCAUUUGCCAAUGAUAGUUUCUGUUCAGAUGGCAACUUUGCCUCAGUAUAAUCCCAAAUGACAUGUCCAAUUUCCCUUUCUCAACUCUUGAGUUUUUCCAGGGAGAAAAUGUGGUUUUGCCCUUCUUUUAGAAAAUUGAUGUUUCUGUGCUUUUGCUUUGCUAGUGCAUCUGAAAACAUAUGGACACUUCUGGCUAAAAAAAGAAAAGAAAGUCUUUUCUGAUUCAUUUGGCUGAAACAUGAAUUUUCCAAAUUCAGUAAAAAACCCUUUUAUGAGACACUUUCAUCUACCAUAGAUUCCAUUAGACCACGGAGCAGAUCUUCUCCCGGGACACACAGUCAUGCUGUCAUCACAAUUCCCAGUGUUCCGGAAUGCUAGACACUUCCUGACCUUUACGUCUGAUACAUUCUUUGAGAGAACUUCUCCACCGACCCCGUCACCUGGAUUGGAUCACCGACCUCUCCCAAGAGGGGCCUGGCUUCCUCCUCGCUGGGGAAACGGUAGGGAGCUCCCCUAGGUAAAGCCUCUAGGGAGAGUGGCCAGGAGCCGGGUCAGGAAAGGCUCUGGUGCCCAAAGGGCUGCCCGCAGAGGCUGAGGUCCCUGCAAGUGCACAGGGAGGAGAGGUGAGAUCAGAUUCCAGCCGAGUCAGGCUUCCAUGUCAGACUGCGUGUGUUUAUGCAGAGGUGCAACUCAGGAAUUACUGAGGAGAAAGUACAGGGCCAAUUUAACCUCCUCUGAGAGACCUCUAACCCUGCUCAUCACCACUCCUCGCUAAAAAGGGCCCUCUCCAGGGAAGAACCCAGAGGGAGAGCGGGAAUUCUCCUCCCCUUGGAGGAAGAGUGCUUCCUCUACCCUUAAUGUAUCAACUGACAACAAUUCAAACAGAAGGAAACUAGGAUGUGACAAAUAAAGGAAGCCUUUUCAUGCUCUAUGUCCACUGGCGUCGGGCAAGCCCCGGUGGAAGUCCAAGGAAAAGAGUCUAAGACCCAAACAGAUGGUUUGCGCCAAAGUUCUGAAGUGUAUCAGACGUGAAUAAAGGUAUGUUAAUUCUAAAAGGAACUAAAAUAGAAACAUGAUGUGGUUUAGACUCAGGUAUUAAAAAAUGAGCCAUCUCAGAAGUGGAGACCAACUGAAUAUCUUCCUGUAUAACUUCUUCUAUAACUCUUCCAUGCCUCUAUGUUUGGUUGACUUUCACCAGUUUUCCCAGUCUCCAAUGAACCUGAUUCUAUAGGCAGUUACUCUGUGUUCUUUUUGAUGGGAUUCUAAGAAGUGAAGAACAGCAUAGGAACCAAUUUGCUGUGUAAAAUCAGAGAGAGCUCGACUCACUGUGGGUCAGAAACAAAGGGAGACUCUCCAUUGAAAACAGGCUCCCUGAAAGCAGACAUCAGCUAUAAACUGGUUAGGAAUUUAUUAUGAAUUUCCUUUGCAUUCUGAAGCAGAAGGCUUAAAAUUAGGCUCUAAGUCGGAACCCACAGUACCAUUUCCCACAGUAUGACAAGUUUAUAUGGGCAACACAUAUACUUUAGAGUAAUUUGAUCGUCCCAGGCACUAUCUGGAGUGCUUUACACAUGUAGCUGCUUAGUCGUGGCCCCUCAUGGCCUGGCCCUCUGGGUUGGAAUGAUGAGUUGCCAGAGGGUGAAGUCACUUUUGGAUCAUCACGAACACUGAGAGUCGAAAGACAAUGCCAGAGGGUGACGUCACUUCCGGUUCAUCACGAACACAUGGAGAGUCGGAAGAUGACCCUGGGCUUGUCUUCACAUUUUCCGUGUUGUCACUUGCCGGUCCUUUGGAAGCCGACCCUAGAUGUACACUGUCUUGCCGGGACCUUUCUCUUCUCUUCCCCUGUGACCACGCAGGUCUUCGAUUCCCUGCCCCCUGCCCGAGGACCUGCCUCCUCCCUGCCCGAGGACCAAGCUUCAGAAGAACUGCACAUGGGAGGAAAUACCAACCGCUUAACUUCUUCAGAGACAACCUCUAACCCGGCUCACCACCACGCUAGCUAAAAAAGGGCCCUCUCCCAGGGAAGAUCCCGGAGGAAGAGUGGGAAUUCACCCUCCCCUUGGGGGAGGAGUGCUUUCUCUACCCUUAAUUUAUGAACUGAGAAAAAUCCUAACAAGCCUACUAUGAAAUAAAGAUGCCCUUAACCCAUUUAUGCCUAGUGUUCCAUUAUUGGAACGCUAAGCUUGUGGGAGUUAUUUAUAUCCUACUGCUCAAAACCAUUGCCAAGGUCUGAUUUUUCACACAAAAAAAUUUGCAACCUUCGGUAUAAAUGGGUUAAUUCCAAAGCCUAAAGCAACCUAAGACAUCUCAGUCCACAGUGAGCCCAGCCUCCAGCUGCAGGUGUUGGCUUCCACACAGCGCAGGACCAAGCAGUUUUGUGCUGAGUCCAUCUCUGUGGCCACCGGCCACCCGGUGCUGGGGCUGGUCCCCAGCUCAUCUGCACAGGGUUGGUGGAAGGGGCCAGAGGCAGCCUGGGCUCUGAAUUCCACCCAGACCUGGGGAAUAGGCCUGGUAGGGGAGUGAAUGCCAGGGCCGCUGGUGGCCUUGGCUCUUCUGCACGGCAGCAACUGUGGUGGCCUGAGAAUAAGGAGUUACCAUAAGGACGUAGAGGUAGAUCACCAGAGCCGCAUCCACACCCAGAGAUAGACUCACACAUCUGUGGUGUGUUCAUUUCAACAAAGGUGCAGAGAAAAUUCCAUGGAGGAAAAACAAUAGCCUAUCAACAAAUGGUGUUAGAACGAUUGGAUAUCUCACGCAAAAAAUUAACUUUUAUCUGUAUCUCAUGUUAUGUAAAAAUGGAACCAAAAUAGAUUAUAAACAUAAUGUAGAAUAUAAAAGAAAUUAUGGUAAAAAUCAUAGGAAAAAAAUCUGUGCGACCUUAGUUAGGCAAAGAUAUUUUAAAUUUGACAGCAAAAGUACAAUCCAUAAAAGAAAAGAAACUGAUAAAUUGGACAUACUCAAAGUGAAGCACAUAUGCUAGUCAGAAGACACUACUGUUAAGAGAAUAAAAAAUAUAAGCCACAGAUCUGGAGAAAACAUUUGCAAACCAUAUAUCUGAAAAAAAUGGCUUGUACUUCACAUCUAAAAAGACUCAAAAGUCAAUAAUAGGAAAGAAGAGACAAUUUAAAAUGGGCAAAAUAGUUAAAAAGACAGAUCAGCCAAGAAGAUAUAUGGAUGAAAAUUAAACACAUUAAAUACAUCCGAUGUCAAUAACCCUGCUCCCUACCGGUUAGACAGCUGAUGUCAGAAAGGCCGACCCCAUCGCGCGUGCGCGAGCACAAGUGGGCAGGAACAGGAAAUGCCACGAGGACGCUGAAUCAAACCUGCCUACGUGAAGGGCUGAAGACGCGACAUUUCCUGACAGAGGUUGCUAUGUCUAGCAGCAUGAGCCUCUCCAUGAAGGCAUGAGGGGAGAAGACCUCUUCUCUACCUUGUCCCAGGUCUUCCAGGAUUGGUGUCUCCUUUGAGAAGCAGGACUGCUUUUAUAAGUAAGAAAAAUAUUGGUUCUUCAUUUUCAAAAUAACGUCUCAGCUACGUGUCCAAGUGUGUCACAUUGCAACAACUGCCCAGCUGUGGGGCUGGUCUUGGGGAGCAGAGGGGACUGAGGGGCCUGCCUCAUUACGAGCUGCACAGGAGGGCUGAGCUUGCAUUAGCAGCUUCUCCCUCCAGUGCAGGAGAACGCAUUAAGAUUUACGGUUCAUCUGAAAGUAGCUUAGAAAGAAACCAUAUGCUCUUAUCAUCUCUUGCAGAAGUUGCAGACAAGUUAUUUAAAAAUCUCGUUUUCUUAAACUGUCUUUAUUGCAAAGAAAAGAGCCUCUGGGAUCCACUUCAAGUAGUCAUUGUGGAGGGUACAGCAAGCCAGCCCUGGGCUAAGCAUUUACCCCACUAAUUCACCACCACAGCAAGGUGGAGAUCCUUGAGUUUUUGCCUGUGUUUCACAAAUGAGGAAUCCGAGGAGCAGAGACCUGAAGUGACCUGUCCAGGACACAAGAGUGAACCCGGGGACAAAGCCAACCCGCUCUGCUGGGGCUAGUGCCUUUCCACACUCCUCUGUUUCUAUAUUUAAACCGAGUGAAAGGAGACAUGGAAAAUACAUUAGCCCAUUUGGAGGUGAAUUUGAUACACUCUCAUUUGUCAUAGAGGGUAGAAAAAGAUGGAAAAGAGAAACGGGCUGGUGGGGAGGAGGGAAGAGCAGAGACCAGGGCCUCAGCCCAACCUCCAUCCGCUUCCCACUUUCUCUCCCUGUCCCUUUCCUGGAGGCCUUGCUUGCUCCUCACAAAGCUGUCAUUCUUAUGCCUUGCAUGAAUUUGGGUAUUUUAACUUGUCUAUUAAAAAUAUAAAUCUGGCCCCAUAUAUAUGCUUAAUUAAUAUUAUCAUGUAUCCCCUUCAAAAUACUCUGUGGCCAAAGUUUGUGCCCUUUUAUGCAGGAUCGGGAAUGGAUUCCCUAAUAAAUGUCUUGCAUUUUUCCCAUCACAAAAUGUAGUUAAAUUAGCGUCUCUUCAUCCUAAUUUUAUUUCUCCAUUUGGACAAAGCAUCUUCACUUCCAACAGCUGAGCUUUUCAAAGAUAUUUAUUUCUGUGUAGAAUUAAAAAAAAUUGAAUAUUACCAUUUCUGAAAAUAAGUAACUCAAAACUUUCCUUUAAAAUUAUUGCAAAAGUUUCAUAAAUUCAGUUAGAUAUAUGCUUAGGGAAAAUACAGAGUUUGAAGGAAUUUUUAAAAGACCACAUAUUCUAUAAUUCUGUUUAUAUGAAAGUUUUAGAACAGGCAAACCCAUGGAGACAUCGAGUAGAUUGGUGGUGGCCAGGGACUGGUGGAGGGAGGUGGCAGGCAAGAGAAUGGCUGCUGACGGGUAUGGGGUUCCUUUCAGAGUAAAAAUGUUCUAAAAUUACCUUGUGGUUGUGGUUGCACAGCACUGAGACUAUACUAACUGGCAUGUACGGUUUAUUAAUUAUAUUUCAACAAAGCUAUUAAAAUAUUCAGUUUCCAAAAAUAUAUCAGUGCAUGUAAUUGCAAUAUGUUUAGAUCUACCGGAAUUUAAUGAAAUCUAGUAAGUAAUGUCUAGUUAAUACACUUCCAUGGGGAUUUGCAUUUUAUAUGUGUUUAAGUUACUCUUCUGAAUUUUUUUUUUUCCAGUUCUUAUCAAUGCUUCACAAGGUUGGAAUUCCAGCUGUUAAACUUACUAUAGGCCAGGUGCAGUGGCUCACGCCUGUAAUACCAGCACUUUGGGAGGCCAAGGCGGUCAGAUCACUUGAGGCCAGGAGUUUGAGACAAGCUUGAGCAACAUGGCAAAACCCUAUCUACACUAAAAAUACGAAAAAAUAAUUAGCUAGGUGUGCUGGCAUGUGCUUGUAGUCCCAGCUACUUGGGAGGCUGAGGCAGGAGAACCACUUGAACCCAGGAAGUAGAGGCUGUAGUGAGCUGAGAUCACGCCAGUGCACUCCAGCCUGGGCAACAGGAAUGAAACCCUGUUUGAAGAAAACAAAACAAACAAAAUCCAAAAAACUUACUAUGUAGCCUUGGGCAAAGUGACUUUUCAAAGCCUUGUAUUCUUUAUUCUCAAAUAAUACAACCAGCACCUCCCCCAUUACACACAUACACCGGUGUACACACACACACAGACACACACAACCAGCACAUAAUUCUUUUUUGCAAAGACUUCUUAGAAAGAUAAAAAAGAGAUAAGUACUAGUUUUUCAUACAUAUGUAUGCUAUGAGAACCAGUCAAUAAAAUAAAACAACAAAUAAUAUACAUUGUAGCUUCUUAAGAAUCUUCAGCUUUUAAAGUCCCAAGUCUUUCCAGGGCUCCCAGAGCCCCAGUGACUCCUCACCAACAGAGAUGGGAUCCCGGAAGAGCCGGGAUCAUGAUUGGAGGGAGAAAGAUACGGAGACCCCAGUCUGUGCCAGAAGAAUUUCCUGAAUUAACGUUUUUAUCAGGAUGAAGUGUGGAUUAUCAAGUUUGUUAGAAUAAAUGGUCUUAGGUCUAGUGGAAGCUGCUUCGGAGCCAUGGAGAAAAGGCAGCCUGCGCUGAUUGACCAUGAGCCUAAGUACACUGCAUGAACCUUUGGAAGUACCUCUUCUAUGUCUGCCUGAACAAUCAUACCUCAUUAAACAUAAGAUGAAAUAAAGACAUUUCAAGUCAGAGAAGAGUUGAUCAAUUUCCUGCCACAGAAUGACAUUAAACAGUAAAAGAAGUUUCUUGAGCUGAAAGAAAAGUCCAGAAGAUCCUACAGAGUCUUUGAAAUCGGUGUGUAUGUUACACCUACAACACAUCCCACACUGGAGGAGCCACCCUCCCAGGGCGAGACAGCAACACAGGCCUCCUGGCCACCCACACAGAGAAUAGAUACAUGAACUUCGGUACAUUGAUGCGGCAGAAUAAGACGGUGUACAGCAGUGACACCAAAGGAACCAUGGCUACAGGUAGCAGCAGCUGAACCUCACAAGUAAAACCGAGAGACUGCAAAGGACUGUAGACUGCAUGAUGUUACAUGUCUGUAACAUUCAAAAGGAAGGCAACACCGUUGUACUUAGUGAUGUUGAGCUAAGCCUCUGCAGAAAGGCGAAGCUGUGAUUGCACUGCAGCCCGUAGCAUAGUGAACUUUGCAACGCAGGGAAGGGCAUACAAAGCGCAGGCCUUUGGGAGUUCUGGCCGUUCUGUGUACUGACCUGGGUGUGGUCACAUUUCUUGAUAAACAAUUGAGGAGCA
rnacentral:lncRNA from 1 species